UGUGUCUGUGUGUGUGUCUCUGUAUGUAUGUGUCUGUAUCAUACAGACACAUACAUACAGAGACACACACAGACACAUA